GUGCCCGUAGCUCAAUGGAUAGAGCGCUGGACUCCGGAUCCAGAGGUUGUGGGUUCGACUCCCACCGGGCACGCCA
rnacentral:tRNA from 1 species